rnacentral:misc_RNA from 1 species
GAUGAAGAACGCAGCAAAAUGCGAUAAGUAAUGUGAAUUGCAGAAUUCAGUGAAUCAUCGAAUCUUUGAACCCACAUUGCGCCCGCUGGUAUUCCGGCGGGCAUGCCUGUUCGAGCGUCAUUUCAACCCUCAAGCCCCCGGGUUUGGUGUUGGGGAUCGGCUCUGCCCUUCUGGGCGGUGCCGCCCCCGAAAUACAUUGGCGGUCUCGCUGCAGCCUCCAUUGCGUAGUAGCUAACACCUCGCAACUGGAACGCGGCGCGGCCAUGCCGUAAAACCCCAACUUCUGAAUGUUGACCUCGGAUCAGGUAGGAAUACCCGCUGAACUUAAGCAUAUCAAUAAGCGGAGGA